GCAGAGGACCCACCAGGAUCCCCUUGGAGGACAACCAUUGGACUACGUGAGGUCUUUGGAAGCACUACAGUUCUGAAUGCCUUCCAAAGAAUGAAGCCCACCCCCCAUGGCUCAGCUAGUGGCGUUCACCGGACCAGGAACCCCGAGACCUGAAGGAGGAGCCGUGCAUCUGGAGGAACACCAUGAGGCUACCCGCCAAGUAUUACUCGUGAGCUCUGCAGGGUGGUCAGGACGGCUGGAGACGUGGAGGACGGGGAGCCAGGCUCACCAGUGUAAGUGGCGUUUGAUUGGGUCAUUUAACUUGCUGUUGUGAUACUAUGGAAUAUAUUUGUUCUGAUGUGUCCAUUUUGCAUCCAUUUUAAUUAUAAUUGAGUUACAAGGAUUUAUAUUGGGGAAUAUGCUUGAUUGUGAUUGGUUCAGUACCUUCAGUGUGUGGACGUUCGUCUUUCUUAAGACGGCCAACCUGUGUGUCUCUAGUUAAUAAAUAAAGCUAGGAAGUUAUAGCACAGCUAUUUAGUUGGAGCACGUUGUCUUCCGAAAUUGAAUCACAUGUACAUCCUGUAUGAAACCAGACGGCAGAACGUGUUUAUAAUGAUGCUGUCUGACUUCACAGGACUUCCUGGGCGAGGCGUGGGGCGCCAGGAGGGACCGA